rnacentral:rRNA from 1 species
GACAGAGGUCCCGAGCGUUAGGCGGAAUCACUGGGCUUAAAGCGUGUGUAGGCGGAUCGUUAAGUGCCUUGUGAAAUCCCACGGCUUAACCGUGGAACUGCUUGGCAUACUGGCGGUCUUGAGCCACUUAGGGGCAACCGGAACAAAUGGUGGAGCGGUGAAAUGCGUAGAUAUCAUUUGGAACGCCAAUAGGUGAAAACAGCUGCGCUGGGGGUUUGCUGACGCUGAGGACACGAAAAGCCAGGGGA